AGAGUUUGAUCAUGGCUCAGAAUGAACGCUGGCGGCGUGCUUAACACAUGCAAGUCGCACGAGAACUCUUCUGCUUGCAGAAGAUAGUAAAGUGGCGCACGGGUGAGUAACGCGUGGGCAAUCUACCUCCGAAUUGGGGAUAACUCCGCGAAAGCGGGGCUAAUACCGAAUAACAUCCUGAGAACUUUGGUUUUUGGGAUCAAAGGUGGCCUCUAUAUAUAAGCUACUGUUUGGAGAUGAGCCCGCGUACCAUUAGCUUGUUGGUAGGGUAAUGGCCUACCAAGGCUACGAUGGUUAGCUGGUCUGAGAGGAUGAUCAGCCACACUGGAACUGACACACGGUCCAGACUCCUACGGGAGGCAGCAGUGAGGAAUUUUGCGCAAUGGGGGAAACCCUGACGCAGCAACGCCGCGUGAGUGAUGAAGGCUUUCGAGUCGUAAAACUCUGUCAAGUGAGAAGAAACUAUCCUGCGCUAAUACCGCGGGAUACUGACGG
rnacentral:rRNA from 1 species